UACGGGGGGAGCAAGCGUUGUUCGGAUUUACUGGGCGUAAAGGGCGCGUAGGCGGCCACUGCAAGUCGGUUGUGAAAUCUCCGGGCUUAACCCGGAAAGGUCAAUCGAUACUGCAGGGCUAGAGUGCAGAAGGGGCAACUGGAAUUCUCGGUGUAGCGGUGAAAUGCGUAGAUAUCGAGAGGAACACCUGCGGCGAAGGCGGGUUGCUGGGCUGACACUGACGCUGAGGCACGAAAGUGUGGGGAUCAAACAGG
rnacentral:rRNA from 1 species